AGUUUUCCAACACCAGCACUGUUUGGGAUGAGUUAGCAAAUGACCGCGACUGAAAGGCUGAGAGGACCUUGUCGAGGCGAUUCUGUCUCACAGACGCCGGCUUCGGUCGCAGUGAAUGAGGAGGACAGUAUCCAGUUCUUCUGUAAUUAUACUACAACAAGAAACACUCGGGGCCUUUACUGGUACCGUCAAUAUUCCAGUGGUCCCAUAGAGCUGCUGCUGUGGAGAAGCAAAUUUAGCGGGAACACAGAGAAGUUUCACAGAGACUGGCUAUCCCCAGAGCUCGAUCAUAUGAACCACACCAUCAACAUGAAAGUGGUCAAAAUAGAACUGGCAGACUCUGUAGUGUACUACUGCGCACUGAGACCCAUGGAGUCUCAGAAUUGGGUUGACCCUGUGCAAAAACAUGACAUUGUGUGUGCCAGGCAAUCGAUGAGAUCAAGAGUGGAUCUGAAAGGGUUCCCGAAAUCACGGUGA